rnacentral:rRNA from 1 species
UACGAAGGGGGCUAGCGUUGUUCGGAAUUACUGGGCGUAAAGCGCACGUAGGCGGAUACUUAAGUCAGGGGUGAAAUCCCGGGGCUCAACCCCGGAACUGCCUUUGAUACUGGGUAUCUCGAGUCCGGAAGAGGUGAGUGGAAUUCCGAGUGUAGAGGUGAAAUUCGUAGAUAUUCGGAAGAACACCAGUGGCGAAGGCGGCUCACUGGACCGGUAUUGACGCUGAGGUGCGAAAGCGUGGGGAGCAAACAGG